CCUACGGGUGGCAGCAGUGAGGAAUAUUGGUCAAUGGGAGAGAUCCUGAACCAGCCAAGCCGCGUGAGGGAAGACGGCCCUAUGGGUUGUAAACCUCUUUUGUCGGAGAACAAAACCCGGGACGUGUCCCGGACUGCGUGUAUCCGAAGAAAAAGCAUCGGCUAACUCCGUGCCAGCAGCCGCGGUAAUACGUAGGAGGCAAGCGUUAUCCGGAAUGACUGGGCGUAAAGGGUGCGUAGGUGGUUUGGCAAGUUGGUAGCGUAAUCCCGGGGCUCAACCUCGGUGCUACUACCAAAACUGUUGAACUUGAGUGCAGGAGGGGUGAAUGGAAUUCCCAGUGUAGCGGUGGAAUGCGUAGAUAUUGGGAAGAACACCAGCGGCGAAGGCGAUUCACUGGACUGUAACUGACACUGAGGCACGAAAGCGUGGGGAGCAAACAGGAUUAGAUACCCCAGUAGUC
rnacentral:rRNA from 1 species